AGUCCUACGGGGCGCAGCAGUAGGGAAUCUUCCACAAUGGGCGAAAGCCUGAUGGAGCAACGCCGCGUGGGUGAAGAAGGUCUUCGGAUCGUAAAACCCUGUUGUUAGAGAAGAAAGUGCGUGAGAGUAACUGUUCACAUUUCGACGGUAUCUAACCAGAAAGCCACGGCUAACUACGUGCCAGCAGCCGCGGUAAUACGUAGGUGGCAAGCGUUAUCCGGAUUUAUUGGGCGUAACGGGAACGCAGGCGGUCUUUUAAGUCUGAUUUGAAAGCCUUCCGCUUACCCGGAGUAGUGCAUUGGAAA
rnacentral:rRNA from 1 species